GGGUUGUGAGGUUAAGCGACUAAGCGUACACGGUGGAUGCCCUGGCAGUCAGAGGCGAUGAAGGGCGUGCUAAUCUGCGAUAAGCGCCGGUAAGGUGAUAUGAACCGUUAUAACCGGCGAUACCCGAAUGGGGAAACCCAGUGUGACUCGUCACACUAUCAUUAACUGAAUCCAUAGGUUAAUGAGGCGAACCGGGGGAACUGAAACAUCUAAGUACCCCGAGGAAAAGAAAUCAACCGAGAUUCCCCCAGUAGCGGCGAGCGAACGGGGAGGAGCCCAGAGCCUGAAUCAGCAUGUGUGUUAGUGGAAGCGUCUGGAAAGGCGCGCGAUACAGGGUGACAGCCCCGUACACAAAAGCGCAUGUGCUGUGAGCUCGAUGAGUAGGGCGGGACACGUGGUAUCCUGUCUGAAUAUGGGGGGACCAUCCUCCAAGGCUAAAUACUCCUGACUGACCGAUAGUGAACCAGUACCGUGAGGGAAAGGCGAAAAGAACCCCGGCGAGGGGAGUGAAAAAGAACCUGAAACCGUGUACGUACAAGCAGUGGGAGCCCCACCACCAAAGCAUUAUCUGGUGUUGAAGGCCCUGCAAAGCAGCAUCGCGGUGGCGGAGCGUCGUUUGCGACGCCCAACACACAAAACAAGCGGUGAAUGCUUUGGGGUGGGGUGACUGCGUACCUUUUGUAUAAUGGGUCAGCGACUUAUAUUCUGUAGCAAGGUUAACCGAAUAGGGGAGCCGGAGGGAAACCGAGUCUUAAUUGGGCGUUAAGUUGCAGGGUAUAGACCCGAAACCCGGUGAUCUAGCCAUGGGCAGGUUGAAGGUUGGGUAACACUAACUGGAGGACCGAACCGACUAAUGUUGAAAAAUUAGCGGAUGACCUGUGGCUGGGGGUGAAAGGCCAAUCAAACCGGGAGAUAGCUGGUUCUCCUCGAAAGCUAUUUAGGUAGCGCCUCGUGAAUUCAUCUCCGGGGGUAGAGCACUGUUUCGGCUAGGGGGCCAUCCCGGCUUACCAACCCGAUGCAAACUGCGAAUACCGGAGAAUGUUAUCACGGGAGACACACGGCGGGUGCUAACGUCCGUCGUGAAGAGGGAAACAACCCAGACCGCCAGCUAAGGUCCCAAAGUCAUGGUUAAGUGGGAAACGAUGUGGGAAGGCCCAGACAGCCAGGAUGUUGGCUUAGAAGCAGCCAUCAUUUAAAGAAAGCGUAAUAGCUCACUGGUCGAGUCGGCCUGCGCGGAAGAUGUAACGGGGCUAAACCAUGCACCGAAGCUGCGGCAGCGACGCUGAUGCGUUGUUGGGUAGGGGAGCGUUCUGUAAGCCUGCGAAGGUGACCUGUGAGGGUUGCUGGAGGUAUCAGAAGUGCGAAUGCUGACAUAAGUAACGAUAAAGCGGGUGAAAAGCCCGCUCGCCGGAAGACCAAGGGUUCCUGUCCAACGUUAAUCGGGGCAGGGUGAGUCGACCCCUAAGGCGAGGCCGAAAGGCGUAGUCGAUGGGAAACGGGUUAAUAUUCCCGUACUUGGUGUUACUGCGAAGGGGGGACGGAGAAGGCUAUGUUGGCCGGGCGACGGUUGUCCCGGUUUAAGCGUGUAGGUGUGUGUUCCAGGUAAAUCCGGUUCACUUUAACACUGAGGCGUGAUGACGAGGCACUACGGUGCUGAAGCAACAAAUGCCCUGCUUCCAGGAAAAGCCUCUAAGCAUCAGGUAACAUCAAAUCGUACCCCAAACCGACACAGGUGGUCAGGUAGAGAAUACCAAGGCGCUUGAGAGAACUCGGGUGAAGGAACUAGGCAAAAUGGUGCCGUAACUUCGGGAGAAGGCACGCUGACACGUAGGUGAAGUGAUUUACUCA
rnacentral:rRNA from 2 species